UCAUGGCUCAGGAUGAACGCUGGCGGCGUGCUUAACACAUGCAAGUCGAACGAUGAAGCUGGGGCUUGCUCUGGUGGAUUAGUGGCGAACGGGUGAGUAACACGUGAGCAACCUGCCCUGGACUCUGGGAUAAGCGCUGGAAACGGCGUCUAAUACUGGAUACGAGACGUGGCCGCAUGGUCAACGUUUGGAAAGAUUUUUCGGUCUGGGAUGGGCUCGCGGCCUAUCAGCUUGUUGGUGAGGUAAUGGCUCACCAAGGCGUCGACGGGUAGCCGGCCUGAGAGGGUGACCGGCCACACUGGGACUGAGACACGGCCCAGACUCCUACGGGAGGCAGCAGUGGGGAAUAUUGCACAAUGGGCGGAAGCCUGAUGCAGCAACGCCGCGUGAGGGAUGACGGCCUUCGGGUUGUAAACCUCUUUUAGCAGGGAAGAAGCGUGAGUGACGGUACCUGCAGAAAAAGCGCCGGCUAACUACGUGCCAGCAGCCGCGGUAAUACGUAGGGCGCAAGCGUUAUCCGGAAUUAUUGGGCGUAAAGAGCUCGUAGGCGGUUUGUCGCGUCUGCUGUGAAAUCCCGAGGCUCAACCUCGGGCCUGCAGUGGGUACGGGCAGACUAGAGUGCGGUAGGGGAGAUUGGAAUUCCUGGUGUAGCGGUGGAAUGCGCAGAUAUCAGGAGGAACACCGAUGGCGAAGGCAGAUCUCUGGGCCGUAACUGACGCUGAGGAGCGAAAGGGUGGGGAGCAAACAGGCUUAGAUACCCUGGUAGUCCACCCCGUAAACGUUGGGAACUAGUUGUGGGGUCCUUUCCACGGAUUCCGUGACGCAGCUAACGCAUUAAGUUCCCCGCCUGGGGAG
rnacentral:rRNA from 1 species